rfam:Anaeromyces robustus strain S4 BCR32scaffold_228, whole genome shotgun sequence.
AAUCCCUGACAUUUCUGCAGAACGAGUAAAUCUUUCGCCUUUUACUAAAGAUUUCCGUGUAGAAUUGUUAUUAUGUUGGGAAUAUAUGAAUUUUUGGAACUUUUCUUCUUAUAAGAAGAAA